CAUUCACAAAUCAUCCACCAAGAUAUAUUUCAGAAACUUGGAAUAUAUACUGUACAUAACACAAUAACAGCAGGAGUUCCAGGAAAAUUGAAAACUUGAAUUGUCACUGACCUUUUCACUGUCAUACCAGGUAUACAGUCUGUGACUGUACUGAGAUUAAGGGUAUUGUUGGAUUAUCUUUUUGGAUCAUGAUGGCUAUGUUUCAUCAUUUAGUCAUUCUCUUAUUGUGCACUCGUACUCGUAGUAGUACUCUGCAAAACCAUUGUCAAUGUCUACACGGUUGCCACCCCUAACAUCCUUGAGUUUCAAACAUAGGUAAAUGUAGUAUCAGGAUGAGUGGCAAGUCCCUUUAGAGAUACCAUUUUGUUAGACCGCCCAGACAAGUUUUCAGGACAGUGUUCAUCCCUUUGGAAGAUAUAAGUAUAGCCUUUAUCCCAGAAUUCACUAAGAUUAUGCCACAGAUCUCCACUGUCUCAUCAUCACCACCUUCAUGCCCAGCAAACACUUAAAACACCUCUAUUCUUACAUUUCCCACUAAUAUUUUAUUUAACGAUGUCAUUAUCCAGCUACGUAUAUAAGUCUGCAAUCAAACCAGAAACAACAUACAGUAGCAGGGUGAGCUAAAUGGAGAAGAAAUGUAGAUCUAGCAAAUGAGACGGUGGAGGCUCUUGUUUGUUUUUGGGUCAUUUUGUGAUUUCUAGUAAUCUUUAAUUUGUUUCUAUGGAUUUUAUGUAUUUUUGCCAUUAAAAACACUAAAUUAAUUUGUGAACAACUAUUGUGUAAUGCAUGUGUCCUAUUGGCACCAAAAUUGUAAUAUUACUAUUUAAGUCAAUGAAAACCUUUUGUUUUGGCAUCCU